rnacentral:rRNA from 1 species
CCUACGGGCGGCAGCAGUGAGGAAUAUUGGUCAAUGGACGAGAGUCUGAACCAGCCAAGUAGCGUGAAGGAUGACUGCCCUAUGGGUUGUAAACUUCUUUUAUAUGGGAAUAAAACGUUCCACGUGUGGGAUUUUGUAUGUACCAUAUGAAUAAGGAUCGGCGAACUCCGUGCCAGCAGCCGCGGUAAUACGGAGGAUCCGAGCGUUAUCCGGAUUUAUUGGGUUUAAAGGGAGCGUAGGUGGAUUGUUAAGUCAGUUGUGAAAGUUUGCGGCUCAACCGUAAAAUUGCAGUUGAAACUGGCAGUCUUGAGUACAGUAGAGGUGGGCGGAAUUCGUGGUGUAGCGGUGAAAUGCUUAGAUAUCACGAAGAACUCCGAUUGCGAAGGCAGUUCACUGGACUGCAACUGACACUGAGGCUCGAAAGUGUGGGUAUCAAACAGGAUUAGAUACCCUUGUAGUC